GUUUUUACGAUUAUAAGUACCUACCUAUACCUAAUUACCAAUAAUUAGAGUUUAUUAAACUAUUAACAUGAUACUAAUAAUGAAACUUCUUAUAUUUUUUAAAAUAAAUAAAAUAAUGUUAAAUUUGUUAUGCUACCAUUACACUCUUCUACAAUAAUACAACUCGUUUCCCUAUAGUGCUUUCAGACGAAACACUUUAUUGCAGACUACAACA